rnacentral:rRNA from 1 species
UAGGGAAUCUUCCGCAAUGGGCGAAAGCCUGACGGAGCAACGCCGCGUGAGUGAUGAAGGUCUUCGGAUCGUAAAACUCUGUUAUUAGGGAAGAACAAAUGUGUAAGUAACUAUGCACGUCUUGACGGUACCUAAUCAGAAAGCCACGGCUAACUACGUGCCAGCAGCCGCGGUAAUACGUAGGUGGCAAGCGUUAUCCGGAAUUAUUGGGCGUAAAGCGCGCGUAGGCGGUUUUUUAAGUCUGAUGUGAAAGCCCACGGCUCAACCGUGGAGGGUCAUUGGAAACUGGAAAACUUGAGUGCAGAAGAGGAAAGUGGAAUUCCAUGUGUAGCGGUGAAAUGCGCAGAGAUAUGGAGGAACACCAGUGGGGAAGGCGACUUUCUGGUCUGUAACUGACGCUGAUGUGCGAAAGCGUGGGGAUCAAACAGG